AAAGUAUAAGUAGUCCCAAAUGACAUGUCUCAUGAAUGUCCUAAAGACAUUAGUUCUCUAGUACCCAAACAGAAACCCAACUAGCUUAUUACACUAUAUAUCCUGGGUACAGGAUUAAGUUCAAUGACUAUCCCCCCCACUACCAACUGGUGCAGGAAGACAAGUGUAAUUGUAAUAAAGCAAUCAGUCAUGGCCCAUGUCUCUCCCUACUUCCAGUUCCCGCAGAACAGUUCAUCCAAUGAUUAUAUGCAUCCUUCUCCAUAGCGCUUGAAAAAGAGUUUUAAGAGAAGAGCAAUGCAGAACAUUUGAGAGCUUGUCCCCUCUUUGCUAACAGGACCAGAAAUGCCAGUAGAAAGUAGGGAUGUGAAGAUUUAACCAGUAAGCCUCACCCUUAAAAGUUGAAGCUUACCAGUUAAGGUUAAAUGCUAGUGGGAUGGGGGGAUGUCGCAGACAGGGGCUGCUCAGGCAGGGCUGGAGCAGCCCUUGCCUGCAGCCUGCCCUCUGGCAUCCUGGGCAGUGCAGCCUCAGUCCACAAUGGGCCCAGGUGCCUCACAGGUACUUUUUAGUUUACUUGGGGGUGAAAUGGAUUCAGAGAAGCAAUGGUGUAAUUCCAUUUUUCCUCUAAUUCCUUGUCUUUGAAAAAUACUCAUAAGAAAGUCAAAGGCAACAGCUUCCACAGCAUCCAAGCCACCUCAACAGUCAGGAUCUCAACAGCACCAAAAUUUGUGGCAUCCAGAGUCUGAGAUUUUAAGUAAGGAUUCCCACCUUAUUCUAACUUAGAAUUUGUUCUAAAACUUCUUAGCCUACUCCAUUAAAGCAGGGAUCAGAGUAGAGUUUCCCCAGUCAGGGGCCUGAUGACCUGUGUUUGAUGCUAGAAAAUGUAUUUUACAAAAUUGGCACUCCUUAAGCCUAGGCUUUCUAAAGGGAUCUGUCAUCCACAGUGACUGAUGACCUUCAUGUUUACAUACGUUUCCAGGUAAACAUUUUUCUUUCAAGUGCAAAAAAUAUGAAUCUUAUAUUCUAUUAAUCUAUUAUAAUAAAUAGAUACAGAGAAUACAAUGGUGUAGGCUGAAAUGCUCAAAGAAAUUGGUGAUGCAAAGAUUUGGAUCACAAGGGCACACAUGCCAAUCUCAGUAACUAAAUAUCUGGGUCAUAGCUCAAGACAGCUUUUCUCCCAAGAGAGCUUGACCUUUUUCUUAAGAAUCGGAGGGAAAGAAAAGUGAAAUAUAAGAAAACUCUGCCAAUAGGAAAAAAACUCCCAUACAUUUUUAUUAUAUUUCUUGAUUACAUCCUGAAGUAGUUUAUAAAUAAAAGCAGCUAUGUUAUUUUCUCUUAAAACACAAUAAAAAAGGAGAAACACUUCUGGAGUAGGUGGAAAUUACACUAAAACAGAAAGAAGAGCUCAGUGUCAUAGUAUAAAUAGAUUUUGCUAAUAACAAAAUGAUAGUUCUGUCAGACACCGGAAUGUGUUUUAACAACAACAAAAGCGAUCUAUUAUAUAAUGUUGUUUAAUAGAAAACAGAUAAAAAAGUUAUCACAAGAACAAAAAAAUUGUAACAUUUCUACUUAGGAGCAAAAGUGUGAAAUUCAUUUUCACCUAUAGAACUGGUCUGCAUUUUUUUUCCAACAUAAAUCAAUAUAGAAAUCAGUGCCAAACCUCUGUUUUGUAUAACAGCCUAUAGAACUAAUAUAAAAUGAUUUUUUAAAGAGACAAAAUAACCUAAGACCUUAGGGAGUGCUAUGUACAAAAAAACAAAAAACAACAAACCACAAGUUUAAAAAAAUAAAAAUCAACACAAUGCAGGUCCCCGGAUCAGAGAUGUAUGACUGGACAGAAUGCCACAAGGCGCACUCAGCCUAAAUAUGGGAACUGUAGAGUAAAGAAACCCCAGAGCCAACACAAGAAUACUGGUGAAGGCUGGGGAAAAAAAAACCCCACAAGGAAAACCAGGUGAUACUACUCAGGUUAAAGCCUAGUUUGCAAGAGAAAAUGGGAAUAAAAGUGGGGGGGACAGACACUCCACAGAGACAUCCAAAAAUUUUGGAAUGCAAAGUUAAAAACCCAGCCCAUCAUAGCUGAGUUUCUUAAUAGCCCUUCUUUGCACAGGUCUGAUUCAACUGUAUCUCAAUGUUUGAUUACCCAUUAGUGGGAGUUUUCAAAACAAAAAGCCCAGCAGAGUUCUGAAGGGGUUAAAUUGGAUCUAAUCUUCACCUGACAAUUUAGCAAAAUAAUUAUUUUGGGAUGAGUCCCCAUGUGGGCACACUUAUUCUGGAAUAGGAAUGCCUUCUAAUUUAAAAGGCACUAGCAGUCUGGAGUAAGUGGUCGCAUGGGGGCUUUUACAAAAACAACUAUUCCAGAAUAAUUAUUCCAAAAUAGCUAUUUUGGUCAACUUCAGUGUAGACAAGCCCUUAAUUAAUCCUUCCAGACGGUUCUCUCUGUUAUUCUGAGAACUCCUGAAAAUGAGAGAUGAAAAACUUUAGGUAAAGUUAAUGGUGUUAGACAAUAUUGACUUCCUGUGGUCCAGCAAAUUCUCUGCUUCGGCACUCAUCAGGUCCUGAGGACGCCACACUAGAGAGCUUGUGCCAUCUCAGUAGGUGAUAUCUGUACCCUGACAAAUGAACUCCUUUGCUGGCAUAUGUUGAAUCUCCACUGUCAGGCCUUGCUGGUAUAGCUGCACAGGCAGAGCUGUAUCAGCAAAUCCUUUGUAGCAUAAACCAGCAUUUCCAGGCUUUGUCAAAUACCUAACAAUGCUCACAUCUGAAGUAUCACCAUUGUUAUCUGAGUUACAAACAACUAAAAUGAAAGAGGCAGUUGCCGCCUCAGUCACCGUUUGGAUCACAUUUUUGUCUUGUCUAGACUAGGACUUGAAGAUGCAACAUUAGCUCACAAAUUCUAACUAGUUUGAAACCUAGUACCAACAAGGCAUGUUGCCUUUAAUAUGAAGUUGAGUUAAAACCUAAAGCAAGAAAGAGUAAAGCUUGGGCUGAGUAUCACACCAGAAAAUUUUUCCUCUGUUUCCUAAUGGAAGAGUGACCUCUUCAGACAUAUUUAAGGCAGGGAAGUAGCAGUUAAAAAAAAAAAAAAAAAA